rnacentral:rRNA from 1 species
GAUGAACGCUGGCGGCGUGCCUAAUACAUGCAAGUCGAGCGAAUGGAUUAAGAGCUUGCUCUUAUGAAGUUAGCGGCGGACGGGUGAGUAACACGUGGGUAACCUGCCCAUAAGACUGGGAUAACUCCGGGAAACCGGGGCUAAUACCGGAUAGCAUUUUGAACCGCAUGGUUCGAAAUUGAAAGGCGGCUUCGGCUGUCACUUAUGGAUGGACCCGCGUCGCAUUAGCUAGUUGGUGAGGUAACGGCUCACCAAGGCAACGAUGCGUAGCCGACCUGAUAGGGGGAUCGGCCACACUGGGACUGAGACACGGCCCAGACUCCUACGGGAGGCAGCAGUAGGGAAUCUUCCGCAAUGGACGAAAGUCUGACGGAGCAACGCCGCGUGAGUGAUGAAGGCUUUCGGGUCGUAAAACUCUGUUGUUAGGGAAGAACAAGUGCUAGUUGAAUAAGCUGGCACCUUGACGGUACCUAACCAGAAAGCCACGGCUAACUACGUGCCAGCCGCCGCCGUAA